UGCGUAGGCGGAAAAUUAAGUCAGUGGUGAAAUCCUGCAGCUCAACUGUAGAACUGUCAUUGAUACUGAUUUUCUUGAAUUUAGUUGAGGUAGGCGGAAUGUGUAAUGUAGCGGUGAAAUGCUUAGAUAUUACACAGAACACCGAUUGCGAAGGCAGCUUACUAAGCUAACAUUGACGCUGAGGCACGAAAGCGUGGGGAGCGAACAGGAUUAGAUACCCUGGUAGUCC
rnacentral:rRNA from 1 species